GCCGCCAAUAAUAUAGAAUACUAUCUUAGAAUACAAAAUCUUAUUGAAGUUAAAGAAUUAGCUUAUCAAACCUCUAUUUCAUGAGUGUCCCAACUAUCACAUAUGUUGUGUCCCAACGUACACAGAGUCUGUCAUGGUUGUGGGACAAAAAAAAGUUUGAACAGAAAAUGUC